UAUGUAGGGGGCAAGCGUUGUCCGGAAUCAUUGGGCGUAAAGCGCGUGUAGGCGGCCAGAUAAGUCCGCUGUGAAAACUCGAGGCUCAACUUCGAGCUGUCGGUGGAAACUAUCUGGCUAGAGUCCGGAAGAGGAGAGUGGAAUCCCUGGUGUAGCGGUGAAAUGCGCAGAUAUCAGGAGGAACACCGAUGGCGAAGGCAGGUCUCUGGGCAUUAACUGACGCUGAGGAGCGAAAGCAUGGGGAGCGAACAGG
rnacentral:rRNA from 1 species